rnacentral:lncRNA from 1 species
AAAUCCUAGCAGGUUUUCACUCUUGGCUCUUUUUCUUCGCUCUAGCUUACAUUUAGGGUUUGUUGAUCGGUUCACAAUUCUCCUUCAAAGAUGAUCGUUUUGAGGAGCUCCGACGGAGAGACCUUUGAGGUCGAUGAGGCGGUGGCGCUAGAAUCGCAGACCAUUAAGCAUAUGAUAGAGGACGACUGCGCUGACACCAGCAUCCCUCUACCCAACGUUACUAGCAAGAUCUUAGCCAAGGUCAUCGAAUACUGCAAGCGCCAUGUGGAGGUUCCUAAAACUGAGGAUAAGACCGCCGAAGAGGAUCUCAAGACUUUCGAUGCUGAAUUCGUCAAAGUUGAUCAGAGCACCCUUUUCGAUCUCAUACUGGUAUGGAUCUUUUUAAAUCUAUAUGUAUAUCUUAGUUGAUUCGUAUGUGUUUUUGAUUACGAUGAUCCGAUGGUUCAAUUAUUAGUGUGCAGGAUUGCUGAUUCUUUAAUUAAUUUAUCUAAAUAACUAGAAAGAGGCAAAAGUCAUAUAACUUUUUAUAUUCUAAAAUUAUAGUUGGAUGAAAUAUGUGUCUCCUAUAGUAGAAGUGCCAUAUAGAAGCCAAGGGUGUGGCUUGGUGGUCAAUGAAAUGGUUGAGAGCCAUCAGAGGUUCAAUUCUGGAGACAAAAAACAUUAGUUGAUUCAUCCCAUCUAUCCUAGCUUCACCUGGUAUUUGUUGUUGAUGGGAGGUGGUGGAAAUCCCAUGGAAUUAGUCGAGGUGCGUGAAAACCGACCAAGACACCACGUACAUCCAAUAAAGUGUCAUAUAAUUGAGAACUGAUGAAGUGCUUUUUUGGCUCGACUGCUUUCCUUCAUUUCCUUAUUGGUAGUUGUGUAUAUUAUUGAUCUCAACAAUCUUUGUUUAUUAAAGUGUCAUAUAAUUGAGAACUGAUGAAGUGCUAUUUUGGCUUGACUGCUUUCCUUCAUUUCCUUAUUGGUAGUUGUGUAUAUUAUUGAUCUCAGCAAUCUUUGUUUAUUAGACUAUUCCAUAUUGAUGUCUUCUUGUUGGUAGAACUGUGUAAAUUAUUAAUCCCGCAGUUUUACUUGUUAAUAUAUACACCAUGCCAUGCGUAAUUUCACAAAUGGGGUCUAGGAUCUUUUACCCCAUACCUUGUGAAGGUAGAGGUUGUUUCUUGAAAACCAUUGACUCAAGUAAAACACAUCAAAGCAGUAGCAAAUAAGCCAUUUCAGUAAAACAGGAGCAGUAUCAAAACCAAAAAGAACGAACGUUUCUAUAUUUGGAAGUUCUUUAAUUUUUCCAUUUACCCUUAGUGACAUUCUCUUAUAGGCGAUGAUAAUGUAAUUUAGUGACAUGUUUAGAUCACAUGUUCUAACUAAAAAGUACUUUCUAUAUGUUAGACCUUCCUUUUUCUUUAUUAAAUUCCAUUCCCAGUCAAGCACCACCUCCAUAUAAAAUUAACCAGAAGAUUAUUAGUUUUCUAUGAUCAGUUUGUUAAUUUUUUGUUAGGUUUUGUUUAUCUUGAGAAUCUAUGGUAGUUUGUCAAUUCACCUUUUACUUCUGGCUACCAUUGCCUAUCGACAUCGCUUUUGUUUGCUGUCUCUUCCAUAGACUGAGUUUCCGCUCUAGUUUGCUCCUGUUUAAGCUUCAAUGGUAAUAUACAUUGAGUUUAUUAGGGUGGUCACGAAUAAAUUAAUCAAUCAAUUUAUGUCUCAGUCCCCAAACUAAAUCAUUUCUUCCAUAUCAUUUCUGCUUUAUUUGGCUCCAAGGACAUUUCUAUGUGUAGUUGUUUUGUUGUAGUAACAAUAAACUGCAGUUGGUUGUAGUUGUUUGAAGUAAUGAAAUGGCGUUUGAUUGCUACUUCCAUAGUUCUAUUAGUCUGUUAUAUUUGGCAAAAAACAAUUCCCUUUGUCAUGGUUAAGUGAACUUUCUAUUGCUUAGUACAACAGUAUAGUACUAUAGUGGCUCAUUCUAAAACAAUGGGUAAGAACUAAGAAGAUUUGCUGUAACACUAAAAUUGAAAAUAAAACUAAAACAUAGUAACAUACUUGUAAUUGUAAAAUUAGAGUGAAGCAUAUAUUUUACCUUUAGAACAUGUAGUCAUACUUUAGUUUGUUGCCUAUUUUAAGAAAUAAAUGCUAUAUGGACAUGUUUGCAGCACAUUUUGUUUACAUGUUUGAUGUGCCUCUCUGUUCCACCUCCUGAGUUCUUGCCUGGGUAUUUUGAAUCUGUAGAGUGGCUAACAACUGUUGAAUGUGUUUUUUAAUUGUUAAAUUUUGCUGUUUUUUUAAAGCUUACUUGUAGGUUUCCAUUUCUUUUAUAGUUAUUUCUAUUAGCAUUUAAUGAUUUACAAUGGACCCUCCCUCUUAGUAACUAAUUUCCUCAAGUUUGUAGAGAUUUUCUUUUACCUUUUUCUGUUGAGAGCUUGUAUUUGAGGUUUACUGUGUUUAGGUGAUCUCACCCUAUGGGUGUUGUUACUGUUCCUUGCAUAUAGUUGUUACUGCUUUGCUAUUCAUUGCCAUGUUUCUCCACCUAUUUUUUCGUUUUAUUACCGCUUGGAGUUGCUUGAGCUGAGGGUCUUUCGGAAACAGCCUCUCUACCUCUCCGAGGUAGUGGAAAGACUGCGUACACUCUACCCUCCCAGACCCCACUUUGUGGGAUUUCACUUGGUAUGUUGAUGUUGAGAGCUUGUAUAGAGGUUAAGUAUCCUUUGCGGUUGUAUUAAAUCAUUUGCCUUGUCUCUUUACAGGCUGCUAACUAUUUAAACAUAAAGAGCUUGCUAGAUCUGACAUGUCAGACAGUAGCAGACAUGAUUAAGGGAAAGACGCCUGAGGAGAUACGCAAGACGUUCAACAUCAAGAAUGACUUCACUCCUGAGGAAGAGGAAGAAGUCAGGAGGGAGAAUGCCUGGGCAUUCGAGUGAAUUUGAGUCUGUUAAGCGUCCAUAUCUGUAGAUAGAUCUGCAAUAUACUUUAGUAGAUGCUAUGAAUAACUUAUAUUAGUAAGUGUGUGACUGUUGUUUCUCGGACCUUCUGGCUUUGGCUGUUGAACCUCUUUUUCUCUGUUAUGCCAUGGUUUCUUGGUAGCCGAUGUCCAUAUUCAUUGAUCUAUUAUUGGAAAUUCAUAUUGUUUCUUGUGUUUAUCAUCACUGGUGCAUUUAGCUUCUUUACUCUUUACUUAAAUGUAAAGGUCAAUUCCUUGGCUUGUGCAAUGGUUUGGUUGUGUUGUUUUCUGUCACAAAAGGAUGUCAGACUAGAGAGUGUAUGUGAGUAGUCUUACAUGGGCAUGGUAUUUGAAGGCACAUAAUGGCCUAGGAUUUGUAGGUUCUUACCUUGAAUCCCGCUUUAGACAGACUCAGUUGAGAGUUUGAGUGUCACUAAGAGAUGGAGAAGUCCACUUUGGUGGGUGAUACAGUGUGAUGGCCUUGGUCCAAUGAGUAGUGCAUUAUUAGAAGAACCAAUAUUUAUCAUAAAUAAGAGCUGUAUAUGUGAAGUUUGACCUUCAUAUCUUAUUCACGAUAAUUUCUUCUCUGAUUUUUUUCCUCAUUAAACGGCUGCACAACUAUACUUGGGUGUGGCAGGAUAAUUUGUUUGGUCUUAUGUUUCACUGUUCUUAUUAUGUGAUUAUUUCCAUGACAUGUUUGUUUCAGUCGGAUCUGGGCAACGUUACCUGUUGUGGCAGGAUGACUGGCCAGACCUUGUAUUCCUGUUGUUGUUUACACGACAUUAUGUCCCUGUUGGUUGAAGCUGUUGGUUGAAGGUAGCUGGUAUGGAAAUAUAUUUGCAAUUUUGCCAAUGUAGUUCGGUGAGUGAUGGUCAUUUUCUUUUUAAAAAUAAAAAUAAAAAUAAAAUCAUAAAAUUAUGAAUGGGCUAUGAGGAGAUCCUUUUCGUCAUUUAAAUAUGCGGCUAAUACAUGAACAAAGAAGAAAAAAAUAAUAAUACUCCAAACAGAGUAUACUCCAAGAUCAAAUGGUUCCGGCUAGUGACAUUAUGCGAAUGAAAAAUGGUUCUGCCAGGUGUUGAUUAUUGUGAUUUGAUGAACUUGACACAUGAGAUUGAUCUAUUUGAUACUUGUGAUUGAUCUACUUGAUACAUGCGAUAUAUUCAUUUGAUACUUGUGAUGGAUAUUCUUUAUCCUUGUUCGUUGUUGAACUCUGACUAUUGGAUUGUGAUUGUUAACCCUUGUGAAUUGUGUAUUGUGAAACUGUUAGAUUGGGUUGAUUUUUUGCAGGUUAUAGUUUGAGGAGGUUUGGUUGGGAUGAAUGGAGUACUUGUAUUCUAGCUAAUUUUGUCUUGUUUAUUUGGUUACUUAUUGAGUACCGUAUUGUUUGGUACUCACUCCUCAUUUUUACACUUGUGUAGGUUCUAAGUCUGGAGCCAUGUGAUUGUUCUUCUUCUGGUUACAUCUGAGGAAACAUUGAGAAGUAGUUGCUUGUCAUCUGGCGGGCCCUCUUGUUUCUUGUUUUAUAUUUUGUUCUAUUUGAGAAAUAAAGACAUUGAGACUUGUAAUUAUCUUUCAAUUUCGCACUUUAUACAUUAGUGGCUUGUACACGUGACAAUUAGUUUUGGAGGUUAUAUUAGAAUGAAUAAGUUUUCCACUCUUAUGUUAUUCUUGUUUUACUUUUCACAUAUUUUUGUUUCGUUGGGUUGAGGCUGACUUGUCUUGAUGGAAAUACACGAGUGUCAUUACGCCCAUUUUUGGAUCGUGACAAUCUCUAUCGAUUGUUGUGAUUUUUGACCUGCUUUCUAAAAAAAUGAAAAAAGGAAGAUAUGGGCAGUAAUUAAAACAGAAAUCAACUUGUGGCUAAAACUUACCCUUGAAAGCAAACAAAUAUGGACACUUCAUUGAAAGCUUGAAAAAAAAUGGAUUAUCACAUUUCUAAAGAAAGAAAGAAGGAAUGAUCUUCGAUGUACAUAUAGAUAUACUUUUUUAAAAAUAUUAUAAUGUAAGUGUAAUUGGUAAUGACUUUACUAAUUGAUGGCUAAAGAUUAAAAUAUCCUUUUACUUUCCUCAAUGGACUUCUAACGCACAUGUUAAAACUAGAAGUGUUCACAGGUCUAUUUAGAUUAGUUAUUGUUCAAAAUCAAAAUCAAAUCAAUUUAAUUAGUUUUUAAAUUAUUAAAAUCAAAUCAAAACUAAAUAAUUAAUAUAUAUAUAGUUCGAUUAUUAAUAAUACACUAAAAUAAAAUAAACGAUUCAUAGAGAAAAAACGACAACAAUGCAUUUGAAAGGAAUAAAUUGUUUUCGUGUCAUUUUAUAAUUCUUAUACCAGAACUACAAUUAUGUUAACUUCCUGCUUAUAUUGUUAACUAAUCCACUGUACUAUAACAACAACAACAAUAUCAUUCCCAUUGAAAUGCGCACACCUUACUACGGUUUCCAAAAGACCCCCUCCUCAAGUGUAUCGAACCCAUGGAAAAGAUGGAGAAAACAUGAGACAUAAAAUCGUAGCAAUAGUAAAAUGUAAUGAUAAUUGAAAUGCAAUAAACAACAAAUGGAAAGAACUAUUAGGGCACGACUGGUCCUAAGAAAUACAUUAUACCUCUACAUGACAAGACACCACUCUAACCCCUACUAGCCUUUUACCCUAAUACGCGUCUCUAGUUCUUCAUAUCUAAAGUCAUGUCCUAAGUAAUAUGAAGCUGCAACAUGUCAUUUUUACCCCUUACUAGCCUUCUACCCUAAUACGUACCCUUCCAAUUCAGUUUAACCAUCAUUCGGGGACGGAUGAUCCCACGGGAAAGAUGUAAAACCCCAAAAAUUCUAACACAAAUCUUAUCUUGAAAAUUUCUGUAGUCUGAUGGGCCCGUAGAAGUAUCUACAAACCAUAGACAGAUUCGUAGAACCGGGUCCUUGAAAGUUGGUUAUCAAGUCUAAGUUUCACGAACCAGACUACGGGUCGUAUAAGUUCCUACGGUCUCAUGGAAACUAAAUCCUGAAGAACACUCCCAGUAAGGUUCCUACAAAAGAGAAGGACAACCCAUCAAAGUUUCUAUGGGCCGUAGAAAGGGUCCUCAAUCCCCAACUUCAGGAAUCUAGAAAACUCAACAUGUUCCUAUGAGAGGGUCUACGACUCAUAGACUUUUGUACGGACCAUAAAUGGCCUUCCGUAGACGACUCCAGUCAGUUUUUAAGAGGGGUUAUUUUUCUCACUCUUUUUAAAUCUGAACCCCGAAGUUUUUACACCUAAUUAAUGUCACAAGAAUCCCUAGCACAAAAUUGAUUUGGAAGCUUCCUUACCAAUUAAGUUUUGAUAUAAGAUUCUACUUAGAUCAACUUCAAAUAACUAUAUCUCUUAGAUUAUGAAAAUUUAGGGGCUCAUAACCAUUUAGAUUAAAGUUAUUUGAGUCUUAUUUCCAAUACCACCAAUUUUACAUCAAUCAUAGUUUUGAGUAAUUAGUUAUGAUCAUUUUACUAACCUGAUACAGUACAAUGACGAAAUAGCCAACGGGGAAAUACUAAAAAGGAUCAUUUUUGUCUUUUUACCACAACACACCCUAAACAAAAAAUUUGACUCCUAAAAACCUCUAAACAAUCAGAUUUUCAUCUCUUAAUUCUCCAUUCUCUUCUCUCUCAAACUCCAAGGUAAAAUCCUAAGGAAAAUCAAAGCAUAAGACUUCCAUGCAAGAUUCUUUCGAAUCUUUUUCAAGAUUCUUCUUCAAGGUAAGUCUUUCUCCAAGAAUUUUAUUCUUUCAAACUCAAAUUCAUUCAUACAAUUAUGAAUCAUCAAUGAAAAUCUUAGUUCUUGGCCAUAGGGUUUCAAGAAACUAAUUCAAGAAUCUCAAGAAAGGUUUUCUUGAUCAUUCUUCUUCAAGCUAGGGUUUCAAACUUCAUCAAGAACUUUAUUUUUUCCAGGUAUGUAAGGUUAUUCAUAGUGUUGGAAUAGUUCGUCCUCAUGUCUUUCAUCUCAAUUCUAUUAGUGAAACGUUAUGUUUAGAGCAUUAUCAACAAUUUUUUUAAAAUUAAAAUUCAGUUGUGUUUCUUUUCUGAGUUUCAAUUCCUUAACCGUUGAGAUUCUGAUUUCUAUUAUGUAUAUUGAUUCUAAUUUUUUGUUUAUAUUUUGUAUCAUAUGAACCCUAUUUGUUUAUAAAAAUUACUAUAUGAGAUUUCUUAUACAUUAAUUUUGGACUUUAUAGGUAAGUCCAUAAGUAUAUGUUUUAAAUGCAUGUUUGGAAAAGAGUUUUUAAAGAAAGGAUCAAAUGAUUUCAUAUGUUUUAUUUGACAGUUCAGAAAGAGAAAGAAUAUAAUUGAUUUUUUGAAAAGUACUUCGGUAAAGAAAAAUAAAAGUAAAGUAAAGUAAUAGUCUCUUUUUCACUCAAUGUCCCAUAAAACUACGUAGCCAACGUACAGAUGGUUUUCACUACUUGUUCAUAUAUUGUUUUGCUUGAUAUGUAUUUAGUCAUCAAUUAUGUUAUUGUUUUAUUCAGUCAUAUUACACACUUGUAUAUUCAAUAUAUUGAUGUCAUUCGAUCUACAUCUUUUGAUGAUGCAGAUUCAAAUAUUUACGGUCAUCAACAGAUGUUCCGUUGACUUCAUCUACUCGUCAGCUUCUGGUGAGACCUCUCUGAUUUCUGAGGACUCCAUUUUUAUUGCUCUAUAAUAUUAGGAUUUUAAGGUGUUGUGGGUCUUGUCCCGAUACCAAUCUUUAGAUAGUAGAGACUUCAUGGGCAAACAGAGUUAGACGGUUUUCACUAUUUUACUUGGAUGUUUUACUAAACACUUAAGGGUCGUUUGGUAGAAUGUAUUAGGAAAAAUAACGCAUGCAUUAGCAUUGUGUAUUACUAGUACCUUGUUUGGUACUCUUUUCCAACCUAUGUAUAACUAAUGCUUGCAUUAGUUAUACACUCUAUUGUGUAUUAAUGUGUGUAUUGUUAAUGCCAUGAAUUUCUAGGUAUUAGCAAUGCAACGGUUUUAAUGCAUGCAUUAGAUUAUUAUUAUUAUAUUUAUUAUAAUUAUUAUUAUUAUAAUAAUUAUAAUUAUUAUUAUUAUAAUUAUUAUUAUUAUAAUUAUUCUUAUUAUUAUUAUUAUUCUUAUUAUUAUAAUUAUUAUUAUUUAUUAUAAUAAUAAUAAUUAUUAUUAUUAUAUUUAUUAUAAUUAUUAUUAUAAUAAUUAUUAUUAUAAUUAUGAUAAUAAUUAUAAUUAUUAUUAUUAUUAUUAUUAUUAGAGGGUAGUUUUGUCAUUAGUUAAUCUAAUGCAUGCAUUAAAACCAUUGCAUUGCUAAUACCUAGAAAUUCAUGGCAUUAACAUAAUAAUAAUAAUGUGGGGGUAUUUUUGUAAACAAAUAUUUUUUAAUAGUCUUUAUACAAGGCUUGCUAUUUCCAAUACAUCAAACCAAACAAUGUAUAAGAAAUAAUGCAAGCAUAACUAAUGCAUGCAUUACUAAUACAUCAUAUUCAACAUUAUUCUUAUACACUCUACCAAACGACCCCUUACUAUUUAUAUUAAGUAUUUUCAGACAUUGUUUUAAAAGUUCUUUAAAUAUUUUAAAUGCUCAUCUAUUAAAGCUUCCGCGUAUUCUAUUGAGUCAUAUGUGUCAUAGUCAGACAUGUCAAGUAUUUGCUUGCGGACCAGCAAUGAUUCUCGAGUGUCGGUCAUGUCCAAGGUGUAGGCUCAAGGCAUGAAAAUAAGACACAACUUCCACCAUAAGGAAAGAUGAGUAGAAGUUGUUAGGGAUCAUCAUCUUCUUCACCUAUGAAAUAUUAACUGAAUACCUACAACCAAACUAUAUCAAGUGGCAUAGCAAGAGUAGUAUUAGUACGAACAACACGUACUGGCAGGCAUCCAAACCCACCACAUAAUAUAAAGUAGACACCACCCAAAGUCUCUAUCCACGUGCUUCUACCAUCUCAGAUAUAAUACCUAUAAACUAGUAUACUUGAACCCAACCUUGUACCUCAUUAUUCUGCUAUCAACUUUGAUGUUUCCUAAGCUAGCCUUUUAUGUCACUUUAACACUUUCCAAAUUUGUCUGUGAUGUCACCCUAAUAUCAUAUCAUAAUAUAACCCUACUAUCACAUAGAGAUUACCGAAUACAAGGCCACCACUAAUGUCAAAUCAUAGACUAACCUUUCUACCACAUAAUGUCCACGAACAUAAGGUCAUCACUAGCCAUAUCAAUCAACUUGCUUGUCCUUCUAGGAAAGUACAUGACACUAGCGCAUUAGACCAACUCAUCUCUCUUGACUCACAUCCCCAUUAUCAAAUAAGUUCUAAAAAAUUAGACAACCAUGAUCAAUCACAUCACUUAACCAUAUACCAGUGUUGAACUUAACAACCACCAUUUCAAUAAAUCAAUCACAUCAUGAUAAAUAGAAAUUGAGUUUAGAAAUAAAUAAAGCAUUGAGACCUCAUAAACUUAACUCAAUAGUUAAAAUAACUAUGCAGAAUAACACCUAAGGAUUCAUUAUCAAUAAACAUUAAUUAUACCUCAACUAUCAUAAGUAACACAUAAUUUGGACUCUCAAUCCUCACCUUAGAUUUAUAUGCAUAACCCGCAAUACCAUAACCACAUGUAACAACAAUGGAGAAUAUGUAGGCUCUCAGCCACAAUAUCAUGAACAAUAACAUUUGGGUCAAACAAUGCAUAACUACAUGUCUCACCUGAUCACAAUGUAAUUAUUGGGCCCCCUCAUGAAAUCACAAUCACAUACAUGGUCCUCUCACGGAAUUCAAACUCAAGCUAUUAGUAUACCGACAUGGUACCCAAGCCAUCUAUAGUUAGUGUAUCAGUAUGGUGUCUAAAUCAUUCAUAGUUAGUGUACCUGCGUGGUACUUGAGUCAACCAACAAUCACGCAUAAUCACAUAGCGCAAUGGACAAGACCACUUGAAAAUCACAAAUCACAAUCACAAGUUCAUUGCAUGAGAUGACCAACAUGAUGUCAUUGCCUCCCUACCAUGCAUUGCAAAAAUGUUACUACAAGUAGUAAACAUGCAUACAUACUUAAAUCAGAAACAUACAACCAACACCUACAUGGGUAUAUCAAUAGCCUAACACUAGAUCCCUUUUUAUGAACACACAUUCGUUUUCUUGAUUAUCACAACCUUAGAAAUGGUUAUAACCUAACAAUAUCAUAACACUUAAUCUUACCAUUAACACCAAAUCACCCUUAAGAAAACUCAAGACUAACAAUCGAGAACUAGAGAACCACCGGUUUUCCUUAGUCAUUAUCUUUUCUUGCCCUGACAUCAAUAAAUAACAACAUUUAGUCAUCUAAACUCCAUACCCAAAGGUUUAGUCCCAUCAAUCCACAAAAUACCAUGCAGUAGUUAAGAAAACAUGUCUAACUACUCAAUUAAGGAAACCUAGCCUACCUGGGUGCCAAACAAUUGUUGUAGAAGUCUGAUCGCGAAUCUUUAACCCUUUGUAAAGCGUUAGCUUGUUCUUAGUCUAAAAUAACAAAUACAACACAACAUUCAAUCAAACAAUGACCUAAUAACUCCCGGAUUGCAACUAAAUCCUAACCCCCAAGCCAAUAUAUGAUCAUCUUCCCCAACUUAGGACUUUUUCCACCAUGAAAUUAUGUCAAAAGUUUCCUCCCAAGAGUAAUAACUUAGAUUCUAAGACUUAAGAAUCAAUGUACAAGGAUGUGUAGUAAUAAUGUUACCUUUAUUGAUGCUUUCCAUGGAAAAUCAAGUGUAACCUGCCUUAAAUUUCCCCUCCCAAGUCCAAGAACACAAAAUGCAAAAAAUAAGGUUUUUAGGGUUAUUUCUGCAUAAAACCCCGAUUCUAUCACUAAAGCAACGCCACUACAAUCGUGACUAACCUCAUUGUAGAGGUCUGAUCCCCAAAUCAAAUGAAAUCGAUUAAUUUAAUCGGCUUGAUUUGAUUUUUUAAUAUGAAUUAAUUUUUACCCUGAUCGUAAACACCCCGCUGCCCGCCCCAAUGGAAACCAUCCUUCCUAUCAUCAUCAUAUAUCAUAUAUCAUAUAUCAUCAUAUCAUAUCAUAUAUAUAUUAUAAGUGGGAAGCUUCCAAGUUAAAAGUUGAAUUACAAAAAUACCCUUCAACUAAAAAAAAAGAUAUUUUUAAUAAAUGGUUGUAAUAUAAUUUUAUACUUAUUAAGCUUUAAUUGUUUUGUAUAAUAAAAUAAUAAACGGAAAAUGAAAAAACCAAGGAGACGAUGAUCAGAUGAUAAUUUUUUAUACUUAAAAACUUUUGAUUUUGUGUUAGAGAAAAGAACCCUUUCCUUUCUUCAUUUAUUUUUUUAAAAAUAGACCAAUAACUCUAUAAAUUAUCUAAUCUUUCCUCUUCCCCAAUACCAAUAACUCUCUAAAUUAUCUAAUCUUUCCUCUUCCCAAUUUAUUACUCAGUUAAAUCGUAAGUUAAUAUAAUUAUAUAUAUUGAAUGAAAGAUGAAACAACUUCCUGAAUAUACCGUUCAUAUUCCUUUUUUGCACUUAGUAUAAUUUAUAUAAAUGCAUAUUAUCAUAUAAGGUAAUAGGACUGCUUCACUUCAGUUGCAACUUAAUAUUAUGAUAUAUUUUUUUGCCUCAUAUUCUUCGUAUUGCUUUCAUUUAUUUUUUUUCUAUUUCAUGUCUAAUGUAGUGUAUUUCUUUGCUUAUAACAGUUAGGUGAAUAAUUUUUCUUCCAUAUUAUUCUCAUUUGUAAAUCAUAAGGUGUGUGCGUUCAUAUUCUCAUUCAUUCCUGAUUUUUUUAAUAAUGUAGAUGCAUUCUUAGUUUGAAUUUAUUUUUACUAUUUAUUAAGUUUCGUAAUUGGAGUGGUAGUUCCUUCAAAGAAAUAUUAGUAAAUGACAUUUCAAAUAUCGUGAAAAAGAUAUUUAGAGUUGAUUUAUAUUGUAAGCACAUUUGAAUGUUGCAUAUGAUUAUGGUAGUCCCCCUUUCUCAUUUUCUAUCUCCAUUUUCACUCUUAAAAAGAUAAAAAUGAUUUCUUUCCUAAUGUAAUCACCAUUCUUUUGCCUUCUUUUUUCAUAUAAAAGUGAUAGUCAAUUCAUGAUUUUAUAAAAAGAACUACAAAAAUGGAUACGAGGAGAGAAAUGUGAAAUAUAUAUUUUGCACUUGAAAUAGGUAAUUGAUAUAUGUCGUGUCAAACAAAUAGUUAAUUUAAUUUGUAGUUUUAGUGAUAAAGUUUGAUUAAUUUUUAGAGUGUGUAAUUUAUUUUCACCAUUAUAAAUUAAUUACAUACGCUUUAAAUUCAUUGUAAUACAAUGUAAAUUACCUUGGUUAUUAUUAAUUAUUUCUAUUUUUCAUCUUCCUAUGUAUUAACUUUUCUCAUAAUCUAUUUAUUUUCCUUUGCCUCAAAACAUUGCUGUCAGAUAUAUAUAAGUUACUGAUAUUAUUUUGUUUCUUUUUGUUGUCUACUCUUUACCAUGCUACCAUAUCUUAUGUGUCAAUUUAGCUAUCAAACUUUUUUCAGGUAGAAUAUUAAUGACCCAUGAAAUUUAUUCUUGAAAAGCUCGGUGUUUUCGAAGUUAUUUCCUAAUCUAUUUUCCAAGUUAUUAUAUAGAUCUUAAGAUUAUUGAAUACUUAUUUGUUAAAUUGAAGCAAAUUACUCUGUCAUGAAUUUUAUUACAUCUACAUUUUUAUCUAUUGUACUUAAAUUUGACCUUUUUAUAGCAAGGGUAAAACUUAUCUGCACCGAAUGUAUACACCAAAUCAAUACAUGCAUGCUAUGUGUUUAAAUUUAUAGUUUAUUUUACUUAACUAUAAUUAAUUAACAUAUAUUUUACUUCAUCAAAUCACGUAAUAAUGAAAAUUGCAUUAGUUGAGUGCAUAUAUUCGGUGCGAAUACGUUUUUUCCUAUAUAUAAACACAUUUAUGUAAUGAGAAAUAGACAAUGUAACAAAGAAAAUUACAAGUUUAUUUUGUAGAAUAGUCUAGGUGUUCUUAUAAUGCAAAUGUGCUAUAUCUAUAUAUAAUAUAAUAGUGUUGUUCUGCCACAAAAUUAAGGGAAAAUGAUGAAAUUACAUCUCAUCAGAGGGUUUUUUUUUUUUUUGGCAACCAAUGUGAAAAUUACCAUUAACAAACAAACAAAACUUACAAACUAAGAGCAUUUCAACCUCAGUACCUUAACUGGUAUUAGAGGAGUGACCUCAUCAACUCAAACUACUUACAUAAAUUCUACCAAAAACUCCUACAUCUAUGUGCUCUUUUGGUAUUCUUAUGCAUGUCUAUCCUCGCUAUAAGUUCUCGAAUUAUUCCCUCCACUAUGUCAGUAUACUGUAUUUGUACUCCUUUGAAAUGCUUCCAAUUCCUUGCCUUCCAGAUGUGAUACACUAUUGCUCCCCAAAUAGCAGUCACCACCUCUUUCUUAAACUUCUUCCAAUGCUUCAACUUUAUCAUCUCCAAUGUAGUUUUUAACUCUUUUGCGGGAAUAAAGAUGUUGGCCCAUUGUAGUAAUUUAGCUCUCACCUUUGCAACAUAUUCACACUCUACAAACAUGUGCUUGUACGACUCUAUCAUUCCAUUUUGACACAGGCAGCAGCUAUUGUCUUCUACAUAUACUCCCAUAUUUAUCAACCUAUCCUUUGUGAGCAAUCUAUUUUGCAUUGCUAGCCACAAAAAGAACCUCUGCCUAAGUAAUACGACAGAGUUCCAAACUAAUUCAGCUACCUCAAGUUUCUCUUGAUUGCCUAUCAGAUCAUUAUAUCCACUUGUAAUUGAAUACUCCCCAUUUGUUGUAAGGUUGAACUGCCCUUACGUAUACCAUUGUUGCAUCAUAUUUUUCAGGGAGUUUAUUUUCCUCCAGUACCAACUACUAUCAACUGGUGCUUUGUGAGUCCAGACUGUAUCAGUUUUUAUGUAAAUCCCAUGCACCCAUUUCACCCAUAAGGAUUCCUUCCUCAUAACCAAUUGCCAUAAGAGCUUUCCAACAAUGGCUACAUUCCAUUUACCACAUCCUUUUAUAUUAAGUCCGCCCUGCUUCUUUGGAUAACAUAUUUUCUCCCAAGAAACCAAUGACACUUUCCUUUUUUCCUCAUUGCCUCCCCACAAAUAUUCUCUGCAUUUCUUGUCCACCUCUUUCACUACACUCUGAGGUAGGAUGAACACUGAGCCCCAAAAACUGUGUAUGGAGAACAAGACUGCCAAGAUCACUUGAAGUCUGCCUGCAUAGGAAAGUUGUUUUGCAUAGGUGUACUUGAUCCUGCUUGUUAUUUUAUCAACUAGUUGAUGGCAUUCCAUUUUUCCCCACCUUUUUGAUCUCAUCAGAGAGUUAUUAUUAAUAAAACACGAUCGGAUGUAUACACCCAAUUAAUACAAUUUCUAUUAUUUCAUGAUUUAAUGAAGCAAUUAUUUCGUAAUUUAAUGAAGCAAAACAUAUGUUAAUUAAUUAUGGUUAAGUAAAAUGAACUAUAAAUUUAAACACAUGACAUGCAUAUAUACACCCAAUGUAUACACCCGAUGUAGUGGACUCAUUUUAGGAUGCUUGGAGUCAUGUGACUUGCACAUAGAUGGGUCUGUUAAUGAUUUUAACAGAAGUUUCAUGAAGGAUGGAAUUUGCUAAGUUUUGAAUACAUUAAGGAUGAUUUUUGUUCAAUAUGAUAGUUGAAAGAUGUACAUUAAGUUUUGGUUAUAGAUAAAGAUGUUUUUGGUCAAAAACUCAAUAAAAGUAAUAUAAGUAGCAAAUCCUAGCAGGUUCUCUCACUCUUGCCUCUUUUUCUUCUCUCUAGCCUACAUUUAGGGUUUGUUGAUCGGUUCACAAUUCUCCUUCAAAGAUGAUCGUUUUGAGGAGCUCCGACGGAGAGACCUUUGAGGUCGAUGAGGCGGUGGCGCUAGAAUCGCCGACCAUUAAGCAUAUGAUAGAGGACGACUGCACUGACACCAGCAUCUCUCUACCCAACGUUACUAGCAAGAUCUUAGUCAAGGUCAUCGAAUACUGCAAGCGCCAUGUGGAGGUUCCUAAAGCUGAGGAUAAGACCGCCGAAGUGGAUCUCAAGACUUUCGAUGCUGAAUUCG